AUUAUUUUAUUUUAUCUCUUAUAGAGUUUCAUCCUAAGCUGUUAGGACUAACAGGAACAAAUGAAGAGGUACAUACAGCAGCUAAAGCUUAUCGAGUCUAUUACAGUCCAGCACCUGUUGAUGAUGAUAAUGAUUAUUUAGUUGACCACACUAUUAUAUUGUACGGUCAAAACAAGACAGCAGAUCAAGUACACGCUGGCAUUAGCAAUCAAAUGAUCAAGUAUAAACACAGGAAGUGAUAAGAAGACACUAAAACAAUACAUGCACACAAUCAUCAAUUGACUUUCAUAUGAUACCAUUUAAUGGGGCGAAGCCCACUCUGGUGAAAAA